UACGGGGGGAGCAAGCGUUGUUCGGAUUUACUGGGCGUAAAGGGCGCGUAGGCGGCCACCGCAAGUCAGUUGUGAAAUCUCUGGGCUUAACCCAGAACGGUCAGCUGAUACUGCGGGGCUAGAGUGCAGAAGGGGCAACUGGAAUUCUCGGUGUAGCGGUGAAAUGCGCAGAUAUCAGGAGGAACACCGAUUGCGAAGGCAGCUCGCUGGACGUCGACUGACGCUGAGACGCGAAGCGUGGGGAGCAACAGG
rnacentral:rRNA from 1 species